rnacentral:rRNA from 1 species
AUGUGGUUAAUUCGAAGCAACGCGAAGAACCUUACCAGGCCUUGACAUGCAGAGAACUUUCCAGAGAUGGAUUGGUGCCUUCGGGAACUCUGACACAGGUGCUGCAUGGCUGUCGUCAGCUCGUGUCGUGGAGAUGUUGGGUUAAGUCCCGUAACGAGCGCAACCCUUGUCCUUAGUUACCAGCACGUUAUGGUGGGCACUCUAAGGAGACUGCCGGUGACAAACCGGAGGAAGGUGGGGAUGACGUCAAGUCAUCAUGGCCCUUACGGCCUGGGCUACACACGUGCUACAAUGGUCGGUACAAAGGGUUGCCAAGCCGCGAGGUGGAGCUAAUCCCAUAAAACCGAUCGUAGUCCGGAUCGCAGUCUGCAACUCGACUGCGUGAAGUCGGAAUCGCUAGUAAUCGUGAAUCAGAAUGUCACGGUGAAUACGUUCCCGGGCCUU